AUUUUAUUUUACAGAAAUGAUUGGAAAUACAUGUGUAUUCCCAACACAGAAGUUUUUGGGGUUUUUUUUAAGUUCAGGACUUGAAAUCUCCAACCACAUCUACCUAUUCAUCAUUCCAGACAUUUUGCUACUCGGUAAUGCAUUCUUUGGAAAUAUUUGACUUAAAUUAUCACUAAGAAGCAACAAGAAAGAGAAACUUCCUUUUUUGGAUAGCCAAUUUUGAUAAUAAAGGAUGUGAAGGACACGUCGUGGGCUUGCAGUAUCCCAGGACCAAGUUUCCAGCAGGAGAGAUGGAAAGAUAAUAUUAGCUGCUUUUGGUUAGCUCUGUGGGGAAAAAUUUUUUUUCUUGGGUAAAAUUUCAGUGAAUAAAUGGCAACAUAACAAAUCUUAAAACAUCCAUUACAGUGUUUUAUGGGAGGUCUCCUGUAGGGGAAACCAUUGGGGAUUCUUUCAGAUAUGCGAACAUUAGCAGUGAGAUUAGGAACUGCUGAGGUGGGACCAUUCAGGGCCGUGAGAGCAUGUGUGGCCCCUGGUGUAAAGCUGUGGAGCACAGGAUGGAACAGGAUAGGUAGGACAAUGUGGGAAGACUGUGAGCCUGGUCUAGAGCGGCCUCGAUGAAGGGCAAAGCCAUGCGCGCUGGGGUGAGAUCACAGCCUAUGAGCAUCUGAAGAGCAAAGGCCUGCAGCUGGUUGGCUGUGCUCUGUAGAGACCUUGUCAAACUGAGAAGCAGUGCCUAUAAGCAGAUUGUAGUGAAACCCUGGACUUGGGAAAACUAACGUAUCAUUGAUGUGUCUAUCUCUCUCCCUCUGCCUUCUCUAAAAUCAAUAAAAAUAUAUUAAAAAACAACAACAAUGGAAACAUAUCCUUAGGUGAGGAUCAACAACAACAAAAGGUAUAAUAAAUACACAUUAUACAAAAUGUAACAUGGAACCACAAAGGAAAUAGAAUAGGUUUCAGUUCAUUUUAAUUAAAAGAGUAAAUAUCAAUAGCUUUCCAAAUGCAAGGCAUUAAUUAGGCUUAGGGCUAGAGAAGAUAUCCAGAGGAAUAAGGCACUGUCUUCCCUUAAGAAGCUUAUAAUCUGCAAUGAAAGGUUAAAAACAAAAAUGUACUCAAGU